rnacentral:rRNA from 1 species
AGAGUUGACCUGGCUCAGGACGAACGCUGGCGGCGUGCUUAACACAUGCAAGUCGAACGAAAAGAGGGAAAGAGCUUGCUCUUUCCGGAAUUGAGUGGCAAACGGGUGAGUAACACGUAAACAACCUGCCUUCAGGAUGGGGACAACAGACGGAAACGACUGCUAAUACCGAAUAAGUUCCAAGGGCCGCAUGGCCCAUGGAAGAAAAGGUGGCCUCUACCUGUAAGCUAUCGCCUGAAGAGGGGUUUGCGUCUGAUUAGCUGGUUGGAGGGGUAACGGCCCACCAAGGCGACGAUCAGUAGCCGGUCUGAGAGGAUGAACGGCCACACUGGAACUGAGACACGGUCCAGACUCCUACGGGAGGCAGCAGUGGGGAAUCUUCCGCAAUGGGCGAAAGCCUGACGGAGCAACGCCGCGUGAGUGAUGACGGCCUUCGGGUUGUAAAACUCUGUGAUCCGGGACGAAAAGGCAGAGUGCGAAGAACAAACUGCAUUGACGGUACCGGAAAAGCAAGCCACGGCUAACUACGUGCCAGCAGCCGCGGUAAUACGUAGGUGGCAAGCGUUGUCCGGAAUUAUUGGGCGUAAAGCGCGCGCAGGCGGCUUCCCAAGUCCCUCUUAAAAGUGCGGGGCUUAACCCCGUGAUGGGAAGGAAACUGGGGAGCUGGAGUAUCGGAGAGGAAAGUGGAAUUCCUAGUGUAGCGGUGAAAUGCGUAGAGAUUAGGAAGAACACCGGUGGCGAAGGCGACUUUCUGGACGAAAACUGACGCUGAGGCGCGAAAGCGUGGGGAGCAAACAGGAUUAGAUACCCUGGUAGU